rnacentral:rRNA from 1 species
CAGGUCAGGCGGGGCCACCCGCUGAGUUAAGCAUAUCAAUAAGCGG